AGCUGAUAAAGGUAAACUAUCCGAAAGGAUAGGACGCAAAGCCAUGGGCCUAAAGCACUUCAAAGAGCUAAAGGAUGGUCUCAACA
rnacentral:ncRNA from 1 species